AGGAUUAUGCUUCUAUGGAGGCUGGCUUGACGAAAUUGGGAUAAGCUUUAGAUAUUUGCUCGUGGAAAAGGAGCAGAAGGCAGCGAAAUUAUCUUAUAUUCUAUGUCUUGGUCAACUGACCAAUCAAAAAGAUAGGGUCUUAUGGAGAUGAAAUAGUUCUUGGUCUCUAUAAAAGACUAGUGUAAUUUUUUUAAGGCAGGAGUGCUUUCUCCCUUUAGAUAGAUUGUUUGGAAGAGCAGUUCACUGGAAAACAUCUAGUAGAAUAUUUACAAGUCCUUUCUCCCUUGUUUUCUGCUCUCUCUCCCCUACCGUUCUCUCUCUCUCUCUAUGAAAAGGCAUAUGCAUCACAUAUGCUAAAACUAGUCUUUAUAUUAAUAAUAUAUAAUGGAAAAGGUUUUGAUGUCGGUUUUAUACUACCCCCCAAAGCUUGAAGUCAGGCCUAGACAUAAUAAAAAAAGUAAAAAUGCCUUCCUCCACAUGCCCCCACUAUCUUAAUUUCUCUACAUCCUAGAUAGGAGAAAAAAAGAGAGAAAGAAACAUGCAAUCCCCUGCUCGUCACUUGCCCAUGCUCCAUCAAUGAAAAUUCAAGAAAAAUAAAACUAUACAUGCAUAUGCUAGACUCUAAUUAUCACAAUGGAAACUCUAUCAGGUACAUCCUCCUUCUUCAAGUUCCACUUCCCAUGGGCUGGAAUGAGCGCAUGGCUCGACCCUUUUAAUUUUUUUUUUUUUUUGAAUGGACCCAUUUUAUGACCUGUUGGAAUUUUCAGCUACAUAAUGCAAGAAUUAAUUUAUUCCAGAUUUAAAUAGCAGGUCAUUACAAAACGCAUAUGUGCUUUCAUAGGGCAACAUCAGACACUAUAACUAAUAAAUUCAUAGGGCAACAUCAGAAAGGAAAUGCCACCUCACCAACCACCAUUCCUCUCCUACCAACUGCCCCCACCCCACACAACAACAACAAC
rnacentral:lncRNA from 1 species